UUCUGCAUUGACAAGAAUGCCAAUGGUUGAAUGAGUCAUGUUGUCUAUGCUCACCGUACCAAUUGCUGAUACAAAGAGAUGAUGUAGAGGUGACUAUGGUGGAGAUCAUAGUCAAUUCACCCUAAAAGGGUGGAGAGUCGUACAAUGGUGAUGGUGAAACUAAGGUUGGGAUAAACAAGUAAGUGAGGAAGAUGGUCGAAGGAAAAGAUAGAGGAUACAAUUGUUUGAGUUAGUUAAUAGAGAGUUUG
rnacentral:lncRNA from 1 species